rnacentral:ncRNA from 2 species
UUGGCCCUGCGUGACUGGCGAUAGAGAUGGGCCACCAUCGGGGAGCGCAGCUUGAAGCGCCGCUCGCCUGGGCAUCACCC